rnacentral:rRNA from 1 species
GACGGGGGAUGCGAGCGUUAUCCGGAAUGAUUGGGCGUAAAGGGUCCGCAGGUGGCCCGGUCAGUCCGCUGUCAAAGCCUGGGGCUCAACCCUGGAGAGGCGGCGGAGACCACCGGGCUUGAGUCCGGUAGGGGCAGAGGGAAUUCCCGGUGGAGCGGUGAAAUGCGUAGAGAUCGGGAAGAACGCCAAGGGCGAAGGCACUCUGCUAGGCCUGAUUUCGCGACUGACCCUCAGGGACGAGAGCCAGGGGAGCGAAUGGG